rnacentral:lncRNA from 1 species
AAGAUCUGAGAAGUUAAAAGCUAAAAAAAACUUACUUGUACAUGUAAAUGUCUUUGCCAGGCAAAAGGGUUUGUUUGCAAAGAAAGCAAUGCUGAAGAAAAGUGGGAACUGGGAAAGUUGAGUGAGAAUUUGCAGCGUCUGAUGAUGAUGCAGAAGAAAAUGAAGGCUUGUUGUUAAUAAUCAUAGUGGCUUUGUUAAUAACUUGAGGGCUUUUCUUGUUAAAACCACCAUGCUUUUGGUUUUCCAAAACUAUACUUAGCCCCACCAUAUCUCAUUCUCUAUUUUUCUUCUUCUUCUUCUUUAGAGAAAUAAUUUUUCUUCCAUCUCUCAGUUAUGGUUUUGUUGAUGGUGGCUGGUUUUGGCUUAUGAAAAAUUGACAAAAUAAAUAGAAGACAGAGAGAGAGAGAGAUUAUUUGUGAAUCGGAUUAAUAAUAUCUGGAUCCCUUAUUUCUUAUGUUUUUGAAAUAAGGGCAUAGUUGAUUCUUUUUUUUUUAAAUAGAUCCCAGACUCCCAUUUUAUUUUAUUUUUAAUUAUAUUGAAUUAUUAUUCAGAUUACAACUUAUAUUAUAUAAGAUUAAUAUUGUAUUUACAAUUAGUAAUUAUUAAAAUUAAUUUAUAUUAAAUUUUAUAUAAUAUUAGCUAAUUUUUAUCCUCUAUAAUAUUAAAAAAAAUGUUUAUUUUACUCAUAUUUCGUAAGAAGUAAUGGAAAAAAAUUUUGUAAGAGAGAGGACAAAAGAAAACAAAAAGAGAUGAUUUAGAUAGCAUUUAUUUUUUUUCAAACUUCAUACGUUUAUUAGACAACCUUUUAAUGUCAAAAUAAAUAAUAAAAUUAAGAUUAAUUUCUUCUUUUUUUCCUAUCAUUUUCUCUUUCUUCUCUCGUUUUCAUUCUUUUCCUCUCGGCCCUCUCUUUUUUUCAAACUUCAUUUUCUCUCCCUUCGCUCAUUUUCUAAUUCUAAAUCAAUUGAUUUUGAUUCAAGUUCUCAAACAAUAUAGCAAGAAAAAUCAAUAAAUAAAAUUACACUUGUUUUAUGAAUGAAGAUUGCUUUAGAUUUUUUUUUUUUUUGUUUUUGAAUGGAUCGAGUUUGAUUGAUUUAAUUUUAUGGAGAAGUUGGAGCGUAACUCAAAAAUACCCACCCAUGCCCAUGCAUGCGGUCAAAGACAAAGGAUAUUUCAAGUCAUUUUAAUCAGAAAAGGGACCUCUUUCAUACAAAUGAAAACAUUAUUAUUAAUUAAGAAAUUGUAAACUUAUAGGGGUCUUCCCGUUAUUACCCCGAUAGGAUUGUACUGUGAUGGUGGGUCCCGCACAGCUAUGAAGAGCAGUAACAAGGACGAUUAGCGUAGCGAACGAUUUGACUUCUAGUGAUUGUUAACUGCCACGUACCCCCUUGCUUUUAGUUUCCAUUCCAUUUUCUGUUUUUCUUUUUCUUUUUCUUUCUUUUUCUUUUUAUUUCUUUUUCUGUUUCUUCCUCUGAUUACUGUGUACGUUAUUUCUUGAAUUUCCAAUUUCCCAAUUUAAUGGUAAUGAAGUUAUGAAUAAACCCAGUUGCACUUUCAAGCGAGUGCCAGACACGGCCUUAUUUUUAACUUUUUGCUUGCUUCUUCAGAGUUUGCACGGACAUUCCCACUCGUCAAAAAUAGCUUAAAAUGUGCGGGCUUGUGGUAACGUAUUUUUAUAUAUUUCUUGCUUCAUUAAUUCAAAAUAACUUGUAUUUAUUAAGCCUUAGAGUUAAUUAAUUGUCAAUUAUAAAUUUAAUUUGAAUUUUUAUCCAAAGAACUUAUACGGGUAUAUUUGUACAAAACCUAUCCAAUAAAAGUACUUGAUGUACGUACCUUAUCCACAUAACUCCUUGAUCUAAGCAUUUUAUUUCUCAACCGACUGCUAAAAGUACGCGGUGUAAAAUAUCAAUUUAUUUAGGGGUAGGUUACAAAUUUCCCAUUAAUUAAUUUACAGUACGAUGAAGAUGUGUCUUUGAAUAAAUUAAAAGUGAAAAGCUACGCUUUUUAUCAAGACCAUUAAAAAAAUUUAUCUUCUAAUAUAUGCGUACAAGUCAUUGGCAAAUGUCUGUCUUUGAUAGGAUAUGAAUUUUUAGCCGGUACUAAUACCAUAUUUAAAUUCGAUGCUGACUGACCUUUUUGUUAAUCUUUCAUAAAUACGUAAUUUGUAGUCAUUGAAUAAAAAUAUAAAAUUAAUUAAAUAUUAAUCGUAUAUUAUUAUACAUGCACGUCUAAUAGAAGAUUAUACACCUAACUACACAGAGUCAAAACAAUCACAAACUCUAAUUCCUAACAAAUGAAGACAUGCCACUUUGUAAUUCUGUAGUAAGGCAUCAACAUCUAAUUGAAGUACAUAUACAUAGAUUUGAAUCCAGUACUGAGUUGACCUGUGCUUAAUUCUUCAUAAUCUUUUUGGACACGUGUAUGUAUAGUAAUAUACAGUUAAGAUUUAAUUAGUUUUAUAUUUCUAUCUAAUAACUACCCAAUUGUAUCUUUCUAAAAGUUUAGUAAAAGGAUAAACUCAAAUGCUGAAUUCAUAUGCAUGUUAGAAAAUGUUUGCAUCCACACCUGGAAUUUUUUGUUUUUUUUCCUUAUCUAACUAUAUACUUGAAAACAUAAUCCAUUUUUUUUAAUAAUUCAUUAUAAAUUUGAAAGAACCUAAUAAUCUGUGCAAAAAUAUUCUUUUCCUCGUCAUUUUCUUUUAUUGCAUUAUAAUUUAGUGAUCUUAAUCAAUUAUAACAAAUUUGUCAAAAUUAUUACCCUUAAUAGACAUGUGCCAUCCAAGAAUUUGCUUAGAUGGAGGAGUCUAAUGGAAAGCAUCCCUUUCAAAUAUGCUUUUGUAUUUCUAGGAGAUUAUUAUAAUCACUUUGAUUUCGAUUUGUUUUCUCUAACAACAUUAGUCAUGCUGAGAGUCGGGGACCAUUUCUCUUGACAUACACUACUGAAUUUUAUCAUGCUUCAUUUUUAUAUUCUCCAUACAAAUACUUUUUUAUCACAUAAUUAAUCUGAUCACUUUAGUUAAAAGAUUUCAGUUGGUUCCACGUAGAAGCAGAAUCUAAACUUUCUUUUUCUUUUUCUUUUUUUUUUUUGUAAGUAGAAGCAGAAUCUAAACUAAAUUGAGAAUCCAGAGUACAAAAUUCCAACAUUAUUUUCUUAAAGAAUGUAUGCUUAUGCUUCCACAUCAAAAGAGAUUAAUUAACAUUUAACCCAGAAUUUUAUCUCUUACAAAUAAUAUUAUUAUAAAAAAAUCACACAAAUUUUAGCAGUCGGUUGAGAAAUAAAAUGCUUAGAUCAAGGAGUUAUGUGGAUAAGGUACGUACAUCAAGUACUUUUAUUGGAUAGGUUUUGUACAAAUAUACCCGUAUAAGUUCUUUGGAUAAAAAUUCAAAUUAAAUUUAUAAUUGACAAUUAAUUAACUCUAAGGCUUAAUAAAUACAAGUUAUUUUGAAUUAAUGAAGCAAGAAAUAUAUAAAAAUACGUUACCACAAGCCCGCACAUUUUAAGCUAUUUUUGACGAGUGGGAAUGUCCGUGCAAACUCUGAAGAAGCAAGCAAAAAGUUAAAAAUAAGGCCGUGUCUGGCACUCGCUUGAAAGUGCAACUGGGUUUAUUCAUAACUUCAUUACCAUUAAAUUGGGAAAUUGGAAAUUCAAGAAAUAACGUACACAGUAAUCAGAGGAAGAAACAGAAAAAGAAAUAAAAAGAAAAAGAAAGAAAAAGAAAAAGAAAAACAGAAAAUGGAAUGGAAACUAAAAGCAAGGGGGUACGUGGCAGUUAACAAUCACUAGAAGUCAAAUCGUUCGCUACGCUAAUCGUCCUUGUUACUGCUCUUCAUAGCUGUGCGGGACCCACCAUCACAGUACAAUCCUAUCGGGGUAAUAACGGGAAGACCCCUAUAAGUUUACAAUUUCUUAAUUAAUAAUAAUGUUUUCAUUUGUAUGAAAGAGGUCCCUUUUCUGAUUAAAAUGACUUGAAAUAUCCUUUGUCUUUGACCGCAUGCAUGGGCAUGGGUGGGUAUUUUUGAGUUACGCUCCAACUUCUCCAUAAAAUUAAAUCAAUCAAACUCGAUCCAUUCAAAAACAAAAAAAAAAAAAAUCUAAAGCAAUCUUCAUUCAUAAAACAAGUGUAAUUUUAUUUAUUGAUUUUUCUUGCUAUAUUGUUUGAGAACUUGAAUCAAAAUCAAUUGAUUUAGAAUUAGAAAAUGAGCGAAGGGAGAGAAAAUGAAGUUUGAAAAAAAGAGAGGGCCGAGAGGAAAAGAAUGAAAACGAGAGAAGAAAGAGAAAAUGAUAGGAAAAAAAGAAGAAAUUAAUCUUAAUUUUAUUAUUUAUUUUGACAUUAAAAGGUUGUCUAAUAAACGUAUGAAGUUUGAAAAAAAAUAAAUGCUAUCUAAAUCAUCUCUUUUUGUUUUCUUUUGUCCUCUCUCUUACAAAAUUUUUUUCCAUUACUUCUUACGAAAUAUGAGUAAAAUAAACAUUUUUUUUAAUAUUAUAGAGGAUAAAAAUUAGCUAAUAUUAUAUAAAAUUUAAUAUAAAUUAAUUUUAAUAAUUACUAAUUGUAAAUACAAUAUUAAUCUUAUAUAAUAUAAGUUGUAAUCUGAAUAAUAAUUCAAUAUAAUUAAAAAUAAAAUAAAAUGGGAGUCUGGGAUCUAUUUAAAAAAAAAAGAAUCAACUAUGCCCUUAUUUCAAAAACAUAAGAAAUAAGGGAUCCAGAUAUUAUUAAUCCGAUUCACAAAUAAUCUCUCUCUCUCUCUGUCUUCUAUUUAUUUUGUCAAUUUUUCAUAAGCCAAAACCAGCCACCAUCAACAAAACCAUAACUGAGAGAUGGAAGAAAAAUUAUUUCUCUAAAGAAGAAGAAGAAGAAAAAUAGAGAAUGAGAUAUGGUGGGGCUAAGUAUAGUUUUGGAAAACCAAAAGCAUGGUGGUUUUAACAAGAAAAGCCCUCAAGUUAUUAACAAAGCCACUAUGAUUAUUAACAACAAGCCUUCAUUUUCUUCUGCAUCAUCAUCAGACGCUGCAAAUUCUCACUCAACUUUCCCAGUUCCCACUUUUCUUCAGCAUUGCUUUCUUUGCAAACAAACCCUUUUGCCUGGCAAAGACAUUUACAUGUACAAGUAAGUUUUUUUUAGCUUUUAACUUCUCAGAUCUUCAAAACCCAGAAGUGCUUUUGCAUGCCGUUUGUGUUUCCUGUUAAAGUUUCAUUUUUUAUGCAUGUGUUUGUAGAGGGGAUAGAGCUUUUUGUAGCGUGGAGUGCAGGUGCAGGCAAAUAUUCAUGGACGAAGAAGAGAGCUUAAAGAAAGAGAACUGUUCGUUUGCUGCUAUGAAUCCCAGAAGCACUUCAUCUGCUGCUUCUGCUUCUUCUUCCCGCCACCGUAAAGGAACCAGAAACCGAGCUGGUGGCUUCGUCUACUGAUAUUAAAAGGGAAAAAAAAAUGCAUCCCAGUUUUACCCUUAGCCUAAUUUUGUAAUGACAAUCUUGUACGCUGUCGUUUUGCUUCUGGAUUUGCGGCCAUGAAGCCAUUUUUAACUUCCUUCUUUCUAAGCCCCACGUAUCUAUGGGGACUAUGGGAUCCCCUGGUUUGAUUUGCUGUCAGUGUGUGGGUUUUUUUGGCUCAAGGGCAUUUCCGGUAUUUAAAUUAUAUUAAAUGAUAUUAAACGUGAUUAAUUAGUUCAGUAAUUGAAUAUUUUAGUUUUAUUCUGGAUUUUAGUAGUGGGAUUUAAGAGUUUAAGGCUCGUGAGAGUUAUCGUUUUCUUGGAACAAGCAAAGCGAAUGGUGGGGGCUUCUUGUUCUGUUAUCAGAACUUGUGAGCAUUUUAGUGGAAUCGUAAAGGGAAUGUCUAGUUCACGCACUGAAGGACAAUGGCGAGUGAUAAUUAAGUGGGGAAUAUUUCUGUCCUUUUGCAAAUUUUUACAAUUUUAUAAGCAGGGAUCUUAAGUUUUGUGUAUUAUAUCAAAUGCCUCCCCGAUUUGUCUGUUUAUUGCUUACCCAAAUGAACAAGUGAACAAGGCACAAGGUGGCAUUGCGUUGCUGUCUGUCUGCAGCAAAUAGAAAGACAGACAGACUGAGUUUUGAUGAAAUGUAUUUACAAAAUUGGAAAGGUAGAAUGGUAGAUGGGGUCUGAUUUUGGAAAAAGACAAAUUGAACUGACAAGUUACAUUUUGCCCUUUUUGUAAUUUUCAAACACUUCUAACCCUAAUCCCUUUCUUAUACAGGAGAGUAUCUAUGGCUCGUUUGAUAUCGUGGUGUCCUGGUAUGGAAGUUCAAACCAUCCAUGAAAAAAAAUUGAUGGGUGCCUAGUGUUUGGUGAGUACCGUACAAAUUUUUAUCAAUAAACGUGGGCCAAUUAAGCUGUAAGCGUUGAUAACUUUGGUAGCACAAUUGCCAAAAAAUACCAACACAAAAAGAGCCCAAAAGCUUGUUACCAUUUGGUUCUUUUACAUGCCACUUCCAAGUAAAAUGUGAAUAUUUUACGGAUUUAUGGGCUCCUCGUCGCAUAGUGAUUUAAUCUUGUUUAAAUUAGGAUUAGGGUUGCGAUCGAAUUGUGUUUAUAUGAUAGUUUGUGCUUUUAUACGAUGGUUAUGGUUUUUGGUUUUUGAGGUGCUGUAACAAAUGGAAUAAUUCCACUACAUAUUUCAAUUUACUUGGUAAUUAAUAGAUGGUAAAUAUUAAUCACCAAUUCACCAAAUGAAAGUGAAUGUCUAUCUCACACUUUUAACUAUGGUACUACUAAAAUUAAACAAAAUCACAACAAUUAAAAACAUGCCUUAAGUGGGUUCCCACUUCCCAUGGGCAAUGCUAACACUCCUCUUGCAAUUAUGAAAUGUUAUUAUAUCAUGAUGGUGGCAGGUUAAGAAAAGAUGUGCAUGAUAUUGAUGAUGAUGGGAUUUGGAAUUACUUGCGAGUAAUACAAACAAGCAACAGGAAGAAAGUUCCAAGAUGCCAGCCCAACAAAGGCAAAAAAGAUAUGCAGCAGUAAUGAGGAAGAAAUGGCAUGCAUUUGUCCAGUAGUAAAAUUUUAUCCAUUUGGUAAAAAGAAGAGAGUAAGCCGGUAAGGGUAGGCACAAAAUAGUGAGUUUCUCAAAGCACAAGAAAGAGGUGAAGAAUUAGGACAAAAGGAUCUUUAACUUUUCUUAUGUGCCCAUCUCGUGCAAUUUUUUCAAAGCUGGAACCCUAGAAAGCACAGCACGUAUAAAAUAUAGAAAAGAUUGACCGUACUAAAUUGGAAUAAAUAGGGCUUCCCACUUAAACGUCUUUUAUGCUUUGCUAUAUAGUCCACAAGCCCCUCUCUGGAAAAGGCGCAGUUAGGUCCCUUAUUGCUUUUCAGCAUUUUUGGGGGAAUGAAAUGCAUUUUUCCACCUGUGUCCAAGAACAAUUUCUUUGUUGCCAUACAUAUUCUUUUCUUAAUUACAGGACUUGGAAUUUUUUACUUGGAAUCUAAAAUCAAAAGUCGGUUGUAGUUUUUAUAUUGAGCAUCACUGGUUAAAGAUCCUAUCAGUUGAAUCAAAUUUUACAGUGUAAACUCGUAUGCAGUUUCGUGAGGUAUUCACCUACUUUCAUCGAAUUGAUAUUAUAUGUAUAAUGUAUAUUUAUUCUUUUUUCUCGAUUGAGAGGUACAUACCAUAAUAUUCCAACAAAAACAAAUUUGUACGCCGCUAGUAUUCAAAAGUUUUUCGUUGAUGUUUUGGCUCCAUUCAACUUUCUUUUUUGAGCUGUAAUCUACAAUAAAAUAAUUUUCGGUACAACAUUUCCUACUCUCAGCUGAAAACCUAAGUUUUGUAUCAUACCCGUAAAUUUUAUAUUGGCAACACCCAAAGUUUAUAGUUAGUUGUUUGAAGCGGAAAUUUCACUAAGCCACGUGUCAUAAGAAUAAGCUUCUUCUAGAAUUGGGGUUGAAUAGAAAUUUAGAUUAGAUGGUCUAUAAUUCACCUGAUCCUGUUGUGUAGUUUGAAAAAUAAGGUCUAAAAGCAUGCUCAGGCGUUGAUGUGGCCUAAAUAAGUUAUUGUUGCAAUCUUCACUUGGCUUGAAUAGUCACAAACGCUAUGAUAUUGCACACUAGAAAAAUUCUUAGAAACGAUUGGAGAGGUCACAACGGUCUCACUUAAAACCCAGAUUCCUUAAACUCUUAUCGCCUUUGUGACAGAACUUUUCUAAACAUGUACAAUACCACAUGAUUGGUCCACUCUUGGUCUUCGAAUGUUCCCCUUGGAAAUAGUUCUGAUAACACCAUUUAUUGAUUGAUGAGCGAAGCAGAUAUACAAUUAAAAUAAAAUUGAGAAAUAAAUAUCACAUAGGAGAUAAAAGUUUACGUAAUUCAGUUUUUAGCAUACGUCCACAUGAGAAGAUGGGAGGAAAUAUUUUACUAAUUGUGUAGAGUUUACAAGUAUUGUAAUAAUUUUAUCUCACAACCCAGAACCCCAAUACACCCAAACUCUCAAAUUAAGAAUUUAAAGCUCUCAAAAUAUUUUCUCAAUUGAUGCUUCUUCCACACUUUAUUUGAUGAUUUCUCCAUGCACUUAACUCACCUAUUUAUAGGGCAAGCCAAGCCUAAAAUGUCCAUUUUAGUUGGCUUUAAAAUAAUAAUUUAUUAUAUUUUUAUCAAAAUUGGUGUGCAUUAAAAUAAUAAUUUAUUUGUAGAAAUCAAAUUAUUUUAAUAAAAUAAUUUGUUUUGUUAAAAUUGGUUGAUGAUAUUUUAUUGCCACCAUUUUACUAUAUUUAGACUAUAAUAAAAGGUGUUGUCGCUGAAUGCCCCGAAUAACUAGUCUGACUAAAUUUCACAUUUGCUUCGCAAGUUUUUCAUUGGGCAAUAUCUGGUGCAAACCCUGAGAACCAUGUAACACAUCCCGGACUUGAGCUUUAUGGGCUGAAUUGGGUUAUUGGGCCUAAUAUCGUUUUUUAUGUAGAAACAUUAGUACAUAUAAAAUGGAGGAUAGGAUAUUAGUGAAAAUUUAAGGGGUCAGCAAUGGAAAAUAUAAAAUAACUUCAGGUUCUACAAUCAAAACUUGGCAGUUGUAUCAGACAACUACUAAUAUUUACAAUAAACUAACUAUUAGGAUUAAUUUACAACCUCCACUCAAUUAUUCUUUAAUUUAGGGAGGAAUUGAGUCCCCAUAUUUCAAUAUGGGUACUCAAACCGGCAGCUCACCGCUCGGCCACCUAUUGUGUUUGGACUUUUAUAACAACUGAAAUAUCCCGCAAGGAAGGCUGACUAGAGUAAAAUGGCGUCUGGUUUUUCCUUGGCUUUAAACUGACAACGUCCCAUCAACUGCUUCUGGUACCUAUAGCCAUCACAAGUUCCCCAAACCCCCCGAAAGUAAUUUGUAUUUAAGUGAAGCGUAGCAGCAGAGAUUCGUUGAAUUCAACAAAGCCUGUUGAACCUUGCCAAAGUACUUUUGUUUCUUCUGCGAUCGAUAUAACCAAAACACUUUGAUUGGCUUUUGUCUCUCAUUUCUACAGUGUUUGAAACAAGUGCUAAACAGCAUAAGUUUCUUGUGUUUUAAAACGUUAACGUACGGGUAUGGUAAAACUUACCAUAUUCUCAGCUACAAACAGAAGCAAUGGUAAUUUUACCAGGCAUAAGAUGGCUAAAAGAAGUUCAAGACUUCAAAAUGAUCCACGAAGUUCAACUUACAAAUAAGAAAAUCGCAGAAAUUACCAUGUGAUACACAAGGAAAACUAUUAACUAAAAACUGCAGUGCACAUCCAUUUUGAAGUAUCAAACCAGUUCCAAGCGAAUUCAAAUAUACAACUUAGGCUCAAGAAUCUCCAUGUAAAGAUUUCAAUUACUACAUACAGACAAUAUUUAUAGCAUUUGGAACGUAAACUCAUCAUCCGAACCACAAUCCACCAUCUUUCUCGACAUUAGGCUAACCGGAUUUGAAUAGCAAAACUGCUUUCUGAUCCAAAUAGAAAUAAACAAAGUGGUUUGUUU